CUUCUCGUGGCGGAGCGGCAACGCGCCUGUCUAGUGAGUAGGAGUCGUGAGUUCGAGUCUCACCGAGAGGA
rnacentral:tRNA from 1 species